rnacentral:rRNA from 1 species
GGCAUCUUUGAUGUCCGAGUUGUAAUUUGAAGAGGUUACUUUGGAGGCUGGCUCUUGUCUAUGUUCCUUGGAACAGGACGUCAUGGAGGGUGAGAAUCCCGUCUGGCGAGAGUUUCAGUUUCUAUGUAAAGUAGCAUUCGACGAGUCGAGUUGUUUGGGAAUGCAGCUCAAAGUGGGUGGUAAAUUCCAUCUAAAGCUAAAUAUUGGCGAGAGACCGAUAGCGAACAAGUACAGUGAUGGAAAGAUGAAAAGAACUUUGAAAAGAGAGUGAAAAAGUACGUGAAAUUGUUGAAAGGGAAGGGCAUUUGAUCAGACAUGGUGUUUCGUGCUUCUUGCUCCUUGUGGGCGGGGAGACUCACACGGUUCACUGGGCCAACAUCAGUUUUGGCAGCAGGAUAAAACUUUGGGAACGUAGCUUUCUUCGGGAAGUAUUAUAGCCCUU